ACAUAUUUUUUAUUUUAUUUUUUCCUUCCAUUAAAUCUUUUAUUCAAAAGUAAUCUUUUGUAUUUUUGAUGUAUAUUGUGAAAUGAUAGCGAUAUCAAAGAAACAGUUAACAGAUGAAUUAAGAAAUGCCAUUAUUUGAAUUACGAUAAAAGAUCUCGAUUAUCGAAAUCGUUCUUUUUUCUUCCGGUAUCCUUCGUGAUAAAUUUCUUACCACUUUUUACGAAAAUAUUUACGACAGACCUUAUCGAGUUACGUAUUCAUUAAUUAACAUUGAUUAUUGUGGUUGAUCAAAGAUCAUUAUUAUUAUUAUUAAUAAAACUUUAUACGUGUUAUCACGUAAUUUUUUUAAAAGUUAAUAUCAUGGACGGCUGAAUUGAGGUUAUUUCUUCGUCCUGCGAAUUUCAUAAUUCGAAAGAAGCUUUGCAUUAAAACUCGAGAAGUUUGAUAUAUUCCCAUACAUUUCUAAAAAAAUAUUCGCAGAAAAUUUGUCAUAAGCGAUUAAAAUCAUAAACCAUGACGUUAUUUGUAUGAUCAAUCAAUCGAAAUAUUUUAUUUUGUUACAUCGAUGAGUAAUAUUGGAAAUGGACAUUGAUCCAAUUCGUCGUUAUAUUUUAAUUUCCGACGGUUUUCUUAUUAUUUUCAAAUGUUAAAAUGGAUUGAUUUUGUUUAAUGCAUCACGGGUUUGUAGGUAAAAUUAUAACGAGCAUUUCUAAUGUAUAUUUGGCAACAGAAUAUCAACAAUAAUAAUUACAAUAAUUAACAGCGCUUAUUGCGAAAUUAAUUAUAAAAGCGUUCGUAUGAAAUGUGUUUUUAUUUUAAAGGUAAACGUUGUAUGUAUUGAAAUAUUUUUUUAUAUUUAUAGAUAUUGGUUGGAAAUAGCCAAUAUAAAAAAAAAGAACGAGGAGGUCAUUACGUAUUAUAAAAAGCAAAGGAGACAAAAAACUUCUUUCCAGUUGGGAUGAUAUAAAAAAAGAAAUCCUAGAACGUUUGACGAUUAAAUGUAGUUUAGAUGUUUCUUUUUUUUUAUUGCCUAGAAACAGUGAUUCAUUUUCACAAAGUAUAUUCUUGGUACAAUAUAAUGAUUCAUGAAAUAUUGUUAUAUUCUUUUUUUUUCAAUAAUGAUUGUUAUAAAACUAAUUGAUCUUUUUAUAACGAAGAAACUAGUGGAAUUUUUGAAAUAACGGUAUUUUAAAUAUCUUAAAUAACAUAGUUUUAUAUAUUCAUAUCUAUAAAUUUUUUUAUAGAUCUUUUUUUUUGGAUAAGACGGAAUUGUUAGAAAAUUAUCGAUUUGUAAUUUGGUAAAUAAUAUACGUGUGUGUAAAAAUAACAAGGAUUGCAUUGCUAUUGUAAUAUGGAAAAGCAAAUCUGAUCUGUACUUUUGAAUAUAGACUAUGAUACUAAAGAAAGGAUCGAAGAUAAGUUGAAAGUCUUUAAAGACAUUGUAUAAAGAAAGCAUUCCAUAGAUUUUAUAUUCGCUUGUCAUUUUCGUAGAAGAAAUAACAAAGGAUCAACUGUGUUUCAAUUAUUUUUUUCAAGUGUGCCAUGUUGAAUGUUUUGGUAGUAAAACAGUUGAAAGAAAAGUUUCAGACGAUAUCCAUAGAAUAUAAAUUAGAAGAGAAGGUUUUGGAUGUUGUAAUGAUAUGUCUGUAUCAUUUUGUAAUACUCAUAUACGAGUGCCCUUGAGAAGCUACACACUGCCAGAGACGUUGCAUCCAUUCUUGGAAAUAAUGCUGAAAUCUUUAGCUACCACUGCUUUUAGUUGAUUACAAUUUUUUGGAUUUCACAGUUCUAAAAUGAGAUAUCUUAGGAUGGCUUUUAGUUUUUAUGUAAAGAAAAAAGUCGCAUAAAUUUAAAUCAGGGAAAUAUUUUUGUUGGGAAAAAACUCAUUUACAAGAAAAAUUUUUUGUAAUCAAUUUAGCACAAACCCUACUCAUACUCAAAUUAUUUAUGAGUGAAAAUAUGAAUAAUUUAGUGAGUUAAAUUUAAUUCAUUAGAAUCAAUCUAUCAAACGACGAUCUUACACGAGAGUCUUUUAUUAUUGCAACAAUUUUUUCGUUUUUUAAAAUAUAAGAUCUUACAGAACGAAGUUUCAUUUUCUACAGUCUCAUUGUCGUUCACAGAUUCAUCUGUUUUCAUAUCACCUUACGUUCUGGACGAAGCUUGAUCUCCGAAAGCAAAUUUCAAUUUAUUAAACGUUGCGUCCUCUUGAACUUUAACGCAAAAUUUACUAGCAUAACGUGUAAAUUGAUAUGUUGUUGUUCCAUUUCCGUAACAUGCCAUUGAAACAUAUUUUCAUAAAAUUUGUUAUGAAAUCGCUCGUGUUGGUUCGACCGAAUUGAAAUUGAUAUUGAAAGUAGAGAUGUAUGUCUCAAAUAACAUAGCCUUAUAAAUGCUAUAAUCAAUGUCUACGUUAUACCAUUUGAAAAAUUGUCUUACGUUAGCUUUUAUACGUGAAAUGAUCGUACGAAGCAUUGCUAGAUAUUAGUAAAUUAAAUAUAUAUAUUUCUUUUUUAUUUAUAAACAAGUUAUAUAACCAUUACAAAUUUCUCCAUUGUUAAAACAUUUAACUAAAGGCACUGUUGGAACACAUUUUUUAAAUAUCACAUCGAGCGUUUCUUCAACUUUACAUUGUUUUUAAAGGCCCUCAAUUUAUCUUCGAUCUUUUAGUAUCACAGUCUGUAUCCAAAGAUACAGAUCAGGUUUGCAUUUCCGUAUCACUUAUUGUAAUAGCAGCGCUAAAUCAAGUUUAUUUAUUAUAAAUGUUUAGUAUAAUUGUAUCCAUAAAUCUGCGAUGCAUUAGACAGAUUCAAUCAAUUUUAAUAUUUAAUUAUAUAUAAGAAUAUAAUAUUUCAAUUGAUUCAUCAAACAAAUAUUGUAAACAAUAUUAUAUCAAGAGACCUGUGUAUGAUUUUAGUUGUUUAUUGAAGAAUGACAAAUUUUCUGUAAAUAUAUCAUAAAUGUAUGAAAAUAAAUUGAACUUUUCGAGUUUUAAUGUAAAACCGAAUUAAGAGCUUCGUGAGAAGGUCUAAUAACCUUGU